UAGGGAAUCUUCCACAAUGGACGAAAGUCUGAUGGAGCAACGCCGCGUGUGUGAUGAAGGGUUUCGGCUCGUAAAACACUGUUGUAAGAGAAGAAUAGCAUCUAGAUUAACUGCUAGGUGUCUGACGGUAUCUUACCAGAAAGGAACGGCUAAAUACGUGCCAGCAGCCGCGGUAAUACGUAUGUUCCAAGCGUUAUCCGGAUUUAUUGGGCGUAAAGCGAGCGCAGACGGUUAUUUAAGUCCGAAGUGAAAGCCCACAGCUUAACUGUGGAAGUGCUUUGGAAACUGGAUAACUUGAGUGCAGUAGAGGAGAGUGGAAUUCCAUGUGUAGCGGUGAAAUGCGUAGAUAUAUGGAGGAACACCAGUGGCGAAGGCGGCUCUCUGGACUGUAACUGACGUUGAGGCUCGAAAGUGUGGGUAGCAAACAG
rnacentral:rRNA from 1 species